GACGAACGCUGGCGGCGUGCCUAAUACAUGCAAGUAGGACGCACAGUCUAUACCGUAGCUUGCUACACCAUAGACUGUGAGUUGCGAACGGGUGAGUAACGCGUAGGUAACCUGCCUAUUAGAGGGGGAUAACUAUUGGAAACGAUAGCUAAUACCGCAUAACAGUAUGUAACACAUGUUAGAUGCUUGAAAGAUGCAAUUGCAUCGCUAGUAGAUGGACCUGCGUUGUAUUAGCUAGUAGGUAGGGUAAUGGCCUACCUAGGCGACGAUACAUAGCCGACCUGAGAGGGUGAUCGGCCACACUGGGACUGAGACACGGCCCAGACUCCUACGGGAGGCAGCAGUAGGGAAUCUUCGGCAAUGGGGGGAACCCUGACCGAGCAACGCCGCGUGAGUGAAGAAGGUUUUCGGAUCGUAAAGCUCUGUUGUUAAGGAAGAACGAGUGUGAGAAUGGAAAGUU
rnacentral:rRNA from 1 species